UGUUCUAGAAAGUUGACUAUUAUCAUUUUACCCUGUCAAGGCGGAAAUGCUUCAAAAUAGUCGAAUGCCAAACGGCGUUCUUUGUCCGAGUUCGUCAUCAUGGCGUCAUUGACGUGAACUGCCGUGUAGUAGUGCCUCUGGAUUCAAACUGCAUGAAUGUUGUUCAUCGUUUACGAUGGGAAUUGGGAACAAGCACAAUGCUUACCAUACUACAUUAGAAACUGAAUGUGUUAUCUGUAAGAAUUGACAAUGAUGUCCUCAUGUCAAUAGUCUAGUAGUGACUGUAGUGUAACGGUGUAAGUGUUGAUGGUCCGCCGAACUUAGUUCGAACAUCUGAAGUUGAGUUGCAGCAGUGCGGGAGUCGGGACUGAUGGCUUCUGAAUCAAUCGUCUAGUGAAGUUCCUGGCUGCCAGUUGGGGAAGCGUGAAGCGUCCAAGGAAGCUCAACACAGCAAUGCAGAAUUCCCGCAGAUAUUCCAGCCAGGCCUCGCUACACAGUCAAAAGAAUUGCUGUGUACUAAGAGCUGCGUGAGGCAGAAGGCCAUGUUAUGACCUGGUGGGAGCAGCCCAACGUUGAAGCUGGAAUGGAGGCUGCAGCAACCCAUCGUUAGAAUUGUCAGCUGUUGUCCAGGCGAGCCUCUUUGACAACACAACUGUGGAUAAUCUGGGCCUGCCUUUCCUCCCCAACGGCCCUCCUCUUCUCGGUGAGAUAGCCCCGUGGAAGCUCGGGCGACCUAACUGGCGUCGAACUCAUCAACCACCCCUUCCCUGUGGCUACUCUUCUACGUCUGCCUCCAGAGGCACCGCUGUGCGUGCAUGCGUGACAACCUCGUACAACACUGACAGCAUUAUCGCAACCAUGAAUAGACGAUACCUUGAAGAACAUCAUGAACAUGUAUGAAAAAUGUUGGUUUAUUUUGAAAACUACGGGGCCUAGUUGGCAUACGGUGACUGUAGAAUUGUAGUUCUGUUGAUAAAUUGCAUUGUAUUCAAUUACAAAUUGCUGGCAUGGUUUGAAAUAUAUUGUUCAGAAGUGUCGUCUCGUCACCAAGCCGGAAAUAAUUAAAUGGUAUCCAAUUACGCAUUGCUGGCACGUGGUGCAAGAUAAUGAUAAAUUUUAAAUCGGUGAAAUAGCACUCAGCUGUUGUAAAUACCUGUAUUUCGUAUUUUAAAAAAAAUUUCCAAUGUCGAGAUGAAGUGGCUUGCAUCUGUUCUUCUCGUUUGUUGAAUGUAGUGUCUAGUAAACGUGAUAGCUCAUGCUGUAUUCUUUGGUAUUAGAUUAAUAAUCGAGUAUGAAUUUGACCAUCAAAUUUAUAUAUUUAUUUUAUCAAAUGUGUUUUUUAAUCAACGCCUCAUUGAUUUUUAUGAGGAUUUCUCGAUUUACAAUUAAUGUGUUGAUAAAAAUGCCAAAUGAAAAUCGGCCAUAGCCCAUUCUUAUCUUGAUUCAGAAAUUAAUUUGAAGCUGUUGAAACGUAUUACCUUAACAGAUAGGACGGGUGAGGUAACGCUGAACUUAGGUUGAUAUUAGUUCCUCGUAUACGUUUCGAUUUGAAUGGAAGAAUCUUCCUUUCUUGCAUCGAAAUAUAAUAUGAUUUUCACUACUUCGGUUAAUGGGAAUUUGUGAAUUUUGUGGUUAAGGAAGGAGAUAACCCAUCGUUUAAUCUCGUUUAUAUGACUUAUGAUUGAAGACUUCUGCAUUAUUUAUGUUUAUCCUAUUUUUACGCUUUGCUAUGUCCUUUGCAUUAUUGAUGUGUGUAUAUUCAGUGUCUUAGCAUGUUGCUGAGUUUUUGUCAGAAAUAGUUGUACCAGAAUAUAGAAUAAUGUUCAUAAAUGUGUUAUUUAUUAUUAUUGAGAGUAUGAAUGAUAAAGCCUUUAGCAUAUCAUACUCUAAGCGGCGUUUCUGCCUAUCCAUCUUUUUUUGCAUAGGUGA
rnacentral:lncRNA from 1 species